GCCCGCCUAGCUCAAUCGGAUAGAGCGUCAGACUCUUAAUUAGGGAUCGGGUAUCUGAAGGCUGCGAGUUCGACCCUCGCGGUGGGCU